AACCAAAGAAAAAAAUUCAUCUGCAAUCUAGAGAGAGAAAGUAGCAGGUGAAGGGUUGGGAGAGAAGGUGAAUAGUGAAGUACUGUUCAAGUGAAUAGUGACAGUCGCGAAUAGUGAAAUUCGUGAAUAGUGAAAAUUAGAUAGUAAUUUUCACGGGGUAUAACGGGUUGUGAGUUGAGUGUUGUGAGUGUUGUAAACACUGUGCAUUUUUCUCCCUUUAAAUAUAUCUGCAGCAGCUCCGGAGACGUAGGCAUAAUUGGCCGAACUCCGUUAUCAAAUUUGUGUCUUUAUUUUUCCGCAUUUAUUUCGCUCUCGCAUAUCUGGUUAGAGGGAAAUCGCAUAUAAUUUCCCAACAUCCAUGCAAUCCAAAAAGCCAAGAUAUGAGGAAAAGAAGAUCACGAAAGAAACAAAAUUUUCAAAGAUUGCAUGCUCAACCUUCCCCUCCAAUUCAAGAUUUCUGACUUCAAAGAUUUGCAGAUUUCUAGCAAAUCUUAUUUUUUUUCAAAAGUGUAGAUUUGCAGCUGACUUUCCUUCCAACUCCCUACACAAAUUUCAACCUUCAUAAUUUCCAUUGUCUACGGAAUCCACUUAUAAAUACAUAGCAUAUCAGUUAACACACAGCUCACUCCACUAGCAAUAACCACACCCGUGCAGAGGAAGUGAAGCCAACAAGCUUCAAAACAAACUUUGCAUACUUCUUAAGCUCAAGUGAGCUCCCUUCGCCAGGCUAUUUCUUCGCCGACCGGCCACUAGGCUCUGAACCGAGAACGUGUACUCGUUCCUCCAUCUUCAGGCUACCAAACCCAACAAUCGAAAGGCCAAAGCCUUCUCUAUAUUUUCCUGACCAAAGGCCGCAAUAUCCUUCGGAGGCCAACGUCGAAUUCCCGACUUAGCCACCGGCCAACUUACGGCUUUCGUUUCUCACUAUCCUUACGACGAAAAAGGAUUGAGAAAACACCGUUGUGUAGCCUGAUCUACCUCGCACGAGGAAGACUAAGUCGUAGACCUUCGCGGCUAAACACCAUCGCGGAACGACGACCAGAAAACCCCCGACGAACAACUUCCAUUAGUGCUCACUUGGACAAGGGUUCAAAUAAACAAAAGCGUCUGAGUAACCUAUCGCGCUAAGGAAAGAGAAUCAUUGUCUUAAGUAGCAAAACACUGCAAUCAGGUGGGCAUUACUUUUACUAUACGUAUAUAGAGAUCCCCUGCGUGUCGUAGGCCUCUUAUACGAAUGAAUGCAUGAGAUGAUUUAACUGUUAAUUUCAGUUUUAUAUAUCUAUCAAACGAGUUUAAUGCUACCUUUGAGCAAGUUAUUUCAUGACAAAAUCUUUGAGUUAAAGUUAUUUCAAGUAUUGUCUUGCCAUAAAAUAUUUAAAUUUUAGUAUGAUAUCUAUCUGCUUUGGCUUUGCCAAUGAUGCAAUCGAAUUCGGGUCCUGAGCAGUUGAUAGCUAUCCUGCCAGGGCUAGUGUACACCAGUGACCGUGAGUCAUCUAGCGGGUUGGCCGGUCAAGUGACCGUGAGAGGUGGCCACAUCUCCGGCACACAGUUUCAGAUAUGAUAGAUUACAAAAGAACUUAGUCUAAUCAGACGAACUUUAAGAAUCACAAAUGAACUUAGUAAGCUUGGGCCUUUUUAGCGAAAAACUCCCUUGCUGUACUGUUUAUGAUGGCAUGACAAUUUACAGUUUUAGAGCAUGUAUUUUUAUACCUAGGCAUACGUGCCCACUGAGUGCUUUUGUACUCAGCCCUGCAUAUGUUUUCUAAAUGUGCAGGUUGAGCUGAUGUGAUGAUGGUGCUGCAAUGAGCGGAGUCUCCAGGGUUGUUAAUAAAUAGUUAACCUGUCUAGAAUAUGUCUUCAUACAUAUGUCUAGCUACUUUCCGCUGCAAGAUGUUGUUGAUGUUAUAGUAUGUUAUGUCAUACUUUGAGUCUUAAGAGAAUGGUUUCAUAUGAUGUAUAACUUGAUUAAUGAUAUUAAUUAAGUUUUAUGCUGUCUUUCAUAGACUAUUUUCAA